rnacentral:rRNA from 1 species
AUACGGAGGAUCCGAGCGUUAUCCGGAUUUAUUGGGUUUAAAGGGAGCGUAGGUGGAUUGUUAAGUCAGUUGUGAAAGUUUGCGGCUCAACCGUAAAAUUGCAGUUGAAACUGGCAGUCUUGAGUACAGUAGAGGUGGGCGGAAUUCGUGGUGUAGCGGUGAAAUGCUUAGAUAUCACGAAGAACUCCGAUUGCGAAGGCAGCUCACUAGACUGUUACUGACACUGAUGCUCGAAAGUGUGGGUAUCAAACAGGAUUAGAUACCCUGGUAGUCCACACAGUAAACGAUGAAUACUCGCUGUUUGCGAUAUACAGUAAGCGGCCAAGCGAAAGCAUUAAGUAUUCCGCCUGGGGAGUACGCCGGCAACGGUGAAACUCAAAGGAAUUGACGGGG